rnacentral:rRNA from 1 species
UACGAAGGGUGCAAGCGUUAAUCGGAAUUACUGGGCGUAAAGCGUGCGUAGGCGGUUUGUUAAGUCCGUUGUGAAAGCCCUGGGCUCAACCUGGGAAUUGCAGUGGAUACUGGCGAGCUAGAGUGCGGUAGAGGAUGGUGGAAUUCCCGGUGUAGCGGUGAAAUGCGUAGAGAUCGGGAGGAACACCCGUGGCGAAGGCGGCCAUCUGGACCAGCACUGACGCUGAGGCACGAAAGCGUGGGGAGCAAACAGG